rnacentral:tRNA from 2 species
GCGGGCGUCGUCUAGUGGCCCAAGACGCCAGGUUGUGGCCCUGGAGACCGUGGGUUCGAAUCCCACCGCUCGCCCCG